AUGAAGAACGCAGCGAAAUGCGAUAAGUAAUGUGAAUUGCAGAAUUCAGUGAAUCAUCGAAUCUUUGAACGCACAUUGCGCCCGCCAGUAUUCUGGCGGGCAUGCCUGUCCGAGCGUCAUUUCAACCCUCGAACCCCUCCGGGGGGUCGGCGUUGGGGAUCGGCCCUCCCUUAGCGGGUGGCCGUCUCCGAAAUACAGUGGCGGUCUCGCCGCAGCCUCUCCUGCGCAGUAGUUUGCACACUCGCAUCGGGAGCGCGGCGCGUCCACAGCCGUUAAACACCCAACUUCUGAAAUGUUGACCUCGGAUCAGGUAGGAAUACCCGCUGAACUUAAGCAUAUCAAUAAGCGGAGGA
rnacentral:misc_RNA from 1 species